rnacentral:tRNA from 1 species
GGAGGGGUCGGAUAAUGGUUAUUCCACCAGUUUUGAAAACUGGCGCUCCGUAAGGAGCUUGCGAGUUCGAGUCUCGCUCCCUCCG